rnacentral:rRNA from 1 species
UUAAAUUUUAUUUAUUAAUGUUUUUUUUAAAAAUUAUAAAUUAUUAAAAGUAAUUAUUAUGUGAUUUGUUUAAGUAUUUUAUAAAGAAAAAAUAAUUUUAAUUAUAGUUAAAUAGUAUUGUGAAAGAAAAUUGAAAUAAUUUGAAAAAUUAAUAUUUUAAAAGAAAAUUUAAUUUAUUGUACCUUGUGUAUCAGGGUUUAUUAAAUAAAAAUUAUUUAUUAUAAUUUUCUCGAUUUUAAAAGAGUUAAUAUAUUAUAAAAGUUAAUGUGACAAAAUUAUUUUGUAUAGUAUAUUAGAAAUGAAAUGUUAUUCGUUUUUAAAGGUAUCUAGUUCUUUAAGAAAUAAAUUUAAUUUAGAAAUAUUAUAUUAUUUAGUUAAAUGAAUUAACUAAUUAAUUAUUUUAUUUUAAUAUUUUAUGGGAUAAGCUAUAAAAUAAAUUAUUAAAAAUUAUUAAAUAAUUUAAUAAAUGUAAGCUUAGAAAUAGCUAUUAUUAAUGAAAUUGUUAUAAUUUAUUUUAUAAUAUUUAUUAUUUAUUAAAUUUUAAUUAUGUAUUAAGGUAUUUAUUUUAAUUAUAAAAAUGAAAAAAUAAUGAUAAAAUUAGUAUAUUAUUUUGUAUAAAUAUAAUAAAUUGAUAAGUUUUUAUAAAGAACUCGGCAAAAAUAAUGUUCGCCUGUUUAACAAAAACAUGUCUUUUUGAAUUUUUUUAAAAGUCUAGCCUGCCCACUGAAUAAUUUAAAUGGCCGCAGUAUACUAACUGUGCAAAGGUAGCAUAAUCAUUAGUCUUUUAAUUGAAGGCUGGUAUGAAUGGUUGGACGAGAUAUUAACUGUUUCAUAAAAAUUUAUAAUAGAAUUUUAUUUUUUAGUCAAAAAGCUAAAAUAUAAUUAAAAGACGAGAAGACCCUAUAAAUCUUUAUAUACAUAGGUUAUUAGAAUUUUGUAGAUUUUUUUUGUUAUAAUAAUUAAUUGUAUUUUAUUGGGGUGAUAUUAAAAUUUAAUAAACUUUUAAUUUUAAAAAUCAUUAAUUUAUGAAUAGUUGAUCCGUUAAUAACGAUUAAAAAAAUAAGUUACUUUAGGGAUAACAGCGUAAUUUUUUUGGAGAGUUCAUAUCGAUAAAAAAGAUUGCGACCUCGAUGUUGGAUUAAGAUAUAAUUUUAGGUGUAGCCGCUUAAAUUUUAAGUCUGUUCGACUUUUAAAUUCUUACAUGAUCUGAGUUCAAACCGGUGUAAGCCAGGUUGGUUUCUAUCUUUAAAAAAUUAAAAUAUUUCAGUACGAAAGGACCUAAUAUUUAAUAAAUAAUUAUUUUUAUAUUGAAUAUAAUUAAUUUAU